GUCAUAGAGAUAAGCAAACGGUGACUUGAUGGUCAACAGGAGGAAAAGACGUUGCGUUGAGGGCUGAACAUGAUCCCAGUUGGGUACAGCCUUUUGACUUAACGUAUAAUAAGACUGACGAAGAUUAAAAGCUUAUUGGAAAUCCUUGGUCUACCACCUAUCAGGAUAUUGAGUACGUGGAGCAGUCUAAAGUAACAAUAACGUCU